rnacentral:piRNA from 1 species
UCNCCUCUUUUCAGCGACCAUCUUGCCUUC